AUCACUUUUUUUUUUUUCUGUGCACUGGCACAGCUGGUUACAUUGAAUAUUUUUCCUUCAUUAUGCUGUUAAUUACAUAGUAAUGUAUCAGGAAAGAAAUAGAUAAAACUUUCUGCUCAUUUCUUGUUAAUUUCUAAGUCUUUUCACACAUCAAUGAUUGAGUGUUCUUAUUCAGAAUGACCACGUAAUUGUCACAUAGAAGAAGCUGCUAUUUCUUUUAAAAAUGUCUGUUUAUAAUAACCAAACUCAAAUUCAUUUUCUCAAUGUUAAUAGGGAAAAAAAAGAAGUUGGCAAAAAAUACGUUCCAUCUUUGCAAGCUGGGUGCUAUAUUCACUGAAGUUUGAGUGGUCAACUAUUUGUGAAUAUUUAGACUACUGUAGUUUUCAAUUAAUUAUGUAAAAGUAUAUAUAUACUGAAUUUGUAACAAUCUGAGACUAAACUCAGACUCUGUCCUUUGAGAAUAUGUUGAUCAAAAUCCCAUGGUUUCAGGUAGGCCAGAGACAUCUGUGCAGCCUGUCUGACUCUUUCACAGGCAUCAGGAUAUCUUGUGUUCCUGCCUCAGGAUGAAUUCAGGAAGGAUAACCAGUUUUGUAUUGGUUCCCAUCUGCAUUUGUUUGUGCUUUCAGUUUGUGUACAUGUUUUUGUAGUGUAAGAUAUUAAAUUUUAUAUUUUUUCAGAAAAUAAAAAACAUUUGAAUAUAGAAAAAAUUGAUUGUCCUACUUGGUAUCCCCUAAUAUAUUAAAUGGACAGCCUUUUUAUAGGAAUUUUAUUCUCAGAAAAUGUUUGCUUUUCUGAGUUAUAAAUGUGAUUACUUUAUGAAGUUAUAAAGUUUUGAGUUAUAAAGAUGAUCAUAUACAUUCUCCACAUAAAACAUAUUGCUGAAUAUACAUUCAAGCGAUUUGGCACAAAGACACUGACUGAGAUUACAGAACCUUACCUUUCAUUUAUGGUGACAAUGUAAUCCAAAAUGCACUUAAGGAAAACAAAACACCAAAACAGAAACAAACAAACAAACAAAAAAACAGAAACCACAUAAAGAAGU
rnacentral:lncRNA from 1 species